rnacentral:ncRNA from 1 species
AUCGGCUACGGGCAAACCCGUCGAAAGACGGUGACGCAAAGCUAAAGGGCCUUCGCCGCGUGCGGCAUGGCAGCCAGUUGCAAAG